CACGUAGGGCGCAAGCGUUGUCCGGAAUUAUUGGGCGUAAAGAGCUCGUAGGCGGUCUGUUACGUCUGCUGUGAAAACCCGGGGCUUAACCCUGGGCUUGCAGUGGAUACGGGCAGACUAGAGGCAGGUAGGGGAGAAUGGAAUUCCCGGUGUAGCGGUGAAAUGCGCAGAUAUCGGGAGGAACACCGGUGGCGAAGGCGGUUCUCUGGGCCUGACCUGACGCUGAGGAGCGAAAGCGUG
rnacentral:rRNA from 1 species